GUAGGGAAUCUUGCGCAAUGGGCGAAAGCCUGACGCAGCCAUGCCGCGUGAAUGAUGAAGGUCUUAGGAUUGUAAAAUUCUUUCACCGGGGACGAUAAUGACGGUACCCGGAGAAGAAGCCCCGGCUAACUUCGUGCCAGCAGCCGCGGUAAUACGAAGGGGGCUAGCGUUGCUCGGAAUUACUGGGCGUAAAGGGAGCGUAGGCGGAUAGUUUAGUCAGAGGUGAAAGCCCAGGGCUCAACCUUGGAAUUGCCUUUGAUACUGGCUAUCUUGAGUGUGGAAGAGGUAUGUGGAACUCCGAGUGUAGAGGUGAAAUUCGUAGAUAUUCGGAAGAACACCAGUGGCGAAGGCGACAUACUGGUCCAUUACUGACGCUGAGGCUCGAAAGCGUGGGGAGCAAACAGGAUUAGAAACCCCAGUAGUCC
rnacentral:rRNA from 1 species